AUCGUGCGUGUGAAAGCACUGCUCAGAGACAUCGUUUCAAACAAGAAAAUCACCCCAGAAAACUACAUCAUGGCUAAGGCCUACCUUUCAGAUGGAACUCGGUGAAGUGGCAUUAUCAUUUUCAUCAUCAGCGACAUACAAAAGCCUUCAAAGCAGCAAAAUUAUGAUAACAGUUUCUAAUUUUCUUUGUGUGUUUCAGCGGGUCUUUAGAAGAAAACAAAUUACCAAAACUUGGCCUUCAGUCAUUCCCAGAAAAACAGUGUGGAACAUCUCAGUCUGGGGUUGUCUUCCCUGCCCUCAAACAGAGCCUUGGCUACAACAUUGCAGAUAGACAGAAGAGGUCCCGUGCUGUGCAGAGAGACCGUUUGAGAAGGGCUGUUCAGUGACAGGAACACAAAUACCAGAGCAUAUUUCUGUGGUAUAUAAUGAAAUAAAGCAUUUCUGAUUGAUGAUGUUUUAUGAUGUCAUAAAGUUGAGCAGGAUAGAGUGGUCGCAGCAGGAAUCGCACAACACUUAGUCAAUGACGGCCCAGUUGGAUUACCUCUUCCAGUAAGCCUUGCCAGUGUGAAGCAGCAUGCCGUACGGAAGCGCCUCCCUUAAGUGGAAUGCAACCAUCAUUAACACACCUGUGUGCUUCCUGUCAUGGCAUGUCAAAAUGUCUGCUGCUCGGGAAAAAAAACCCUAUACAGACACGUCACGUUUAUUGACAAUUAUUGCUCAUAAUGAUGUGUAAGAUGGACAGAUAACACAAAUAAUGCUCUAUAAGGCCUGGAUUUUUUUUAGUUUUUCUACAUAGCAGAAGGACUGAUUUCAGCUUUUCACUGGGAAUUUUUUUUUUUCAACCAUUGAGUUUCAGGACAUUUGUGGCUUGUUGUCACUUCACAAAAAAGCAAGCAUAAAAGCACACUUUGUUUUUCAUAAAGCCACUUUUUUUUUGUCAUUCAGUGUGCUAAAGAGCAGUUUAAUGAUUUUUACUGGCCAAGCAUUAGUAUUUAAUCAUUUACAAUUUGAGUUUAAGCAUAAGGAUGAAAGGGUAUAAAUGUCCUCUGCACAAGACAGUGCUGUUCUUUUAAAUUUUUCCCUUUGCGCCUGACUCUUCGGGAUACUGUUCCUUUUAGUGGACCAAUCGUGUGGAGAGUUAUUUGCAUGCUGAGUGUCGUAUUUGAGAUAUAAUGACACAAAAUAGGCAACAGGUGAUCCUGCCUUAAAUAAAUGUCCUAUUGUUAUGUUAGCACUGGUUUCUAAGGUCAUACACCACUGCAAACACUGGAUUUGUCAGUUUAAGAGAAGUGAAAUGUCACUUAGGUUUUGAUCGCUGAAGAUUUGCCAAAGUGCGCAGUUUACGGCGAUAAUUAGAUAUAUUAAGAAAUGUAUUUAAAGCUUUGAUUUCUUUGUUUAUGUGGAGCAUUACUUGUGUUUAAUUAAGCCCAACUGCGGUCCUCUUUACAUGGUUUAUGAGUCAUUUUGUGCUUCACAGGCUGCGAUCCCUUUAUUCCUUCUCUCUAGAAGAACCCUCACAGGCUCCUUUAGUUGCUGAUUCAUGCAUAACAUCUAUAUUGGACAUGUAUUUAUAGUAUAAACACUGCAUAAAGUUGAAACAGAAUAAAAUAAACAAG
ensembl:lncRNA